AUUGAACGCUGGCGGAAUGCUUUACACAUGCAAGUCGAACGGCAGCACGGACUUCGGUCUGGUGGCGAGUGGCGAGCGGGUGAGUAAUACAUCGGAACGUGCCCAAUCGUGGGGGAUAACGUAGCGAAAGCUACGCUAAUACCGCAUACGAUCUAAGGAUGAAAGCGGGGGAUCGCAAGACCUCGCGCGAAUGGAGCGGCCGAUGGCAGAUUAGGUAGUUGGUAGGGUAAAGGCCUACCAAGCCGACGAUCUGUAGCUGGUCUGAGAGGAUGAUCAGCCACACUGGGACUGAGACACGGCCCAGACUCCUACGGGAGGCAGCAGUGGGGAAUUUUGGACAAUGGACGCAAGUCUGAUCCAGCCAUUCCGCGUGCAGGAUGAAGGCCCUCGGGUUGUAAACUGCUUUUGUACAGAACGAAAAGGCUCUGGUUAAUACCUGGGGCUCAUGACGGUACUGUAAGAAUAAGCACCGGCUAACUACGUGCCAGCCGCCGCGGUAA
rnacentral:rRNA from 1 species